rnacentral:rRNA from 1 species
UCUGGUUGAUCCUGCCAGUAGUUAUAUGCUUGUCUCAAAGAUUAAGCCAUGCAUGUCUAAGUACACACGAAUUAACAGUGAAACCGCAAAAGGCUCAUUAUAUCAGUUAUGGUUCCUUAGAUCGUUAACAGUUACUUGGAUAACUGUGGUAAUUCUAGAGCUAAUACAUGCAACAUAAACACGACCUUCGGGACGUGUGCUUUUAUUAGGCUAAAACCAAGCGAUCGCAAGAUCGUUACUUUGGUUGAACUCUAGAUAACUUGCAGAUCGUAUGGUCUUGUACCGACGACAGAUCUUUCAAAUGUCUGCCCUAUCAACUUUUGAUGGUAGUAUCUAGGACUACCAUGGUUGCAACGGGUAACGGGGAAUCAGGGUUCGAUUCCGGAGAGGGAGCCUGAGAAACGGCUACCACAUCUAAGGAAGGCAGCAGGCGCGUAAAUUACCCACUCCCAGCUCGGGGAGGUAGUGACGAAAAAUAACAAUACAGGACUCAUAUUAGAGGCCCUGUAAUUGGAAUGAGUACACUUUAAAUCCCUUAACAAGGACCUAUUGGAGGGCAAGUCUGGUGCCAGCAGCCGCGGUAACUCCAGCUCCAAUAGCGUAUAUUAAAGUUGUUGCGGUUAAAACGUUCGUAGUUGAACUUGUGCUUCAUACGGGUAGUGCAGCUAAUAAUUGUAGUUUGUACUAUACCUUAUGUAUGUAAGCGUAUUACCGGUGGAGUUCUUAUAUGUAUUAAUACUUGUAUUUUGCAUGUUCCUCCUAUUUAAACCUGCUUCAGUGCUCUUUAUCGAGUGUUGUUGUGGGCCGGUACAAUUACUUUGAACAAAUUAGAGUGCUUAAAGCAGGCUCCAAAUGCCUGAAUAUUUUGUGCAUGGAAUAAUGAAAUAAGACCUCUGUUCUACUUUCAUUGGUUAUUAGAUCAAGAGGUAAUGAUUAAUAGAAGCAGUUUGGGGGCAUUAGUAUUACGACGCGAGAGGUGAAAUUCUUGGACCGUCGUAAGACUAACUUAAGCGAAAGCAUUUGCCAAAGAUGUUUUCAUUAAUCAAGAACGAAAGUUAGAGGUUCGAAGGCGAUCAGAUACCGCCCUAGUUCUAACCAUAAACGAUGCCAGCUAGCAAUUGGGUGUAGCUACUAUCAUGGCUCUCUCAGUCGCUUCCCGGGAAACCAAAGCUUUUGGGCUCCGGGGGAAGUAUGGUUGCAAAGCUGAAACUUAAAGGAAUUGACGGAAGGGCACCACCAGGAGUGGAGCCUGCGGCUUAAUUUGAC